UACGUAGGAGGCGAGCGUUGUCCGGAAUCACUGGGCGUAAAGAGCUCGUAGGCGGUGUGUCACGUCGGCCGUGAAAACCUGCAGCUUAACUGUGGGCGUGCGGUCGAUACGGGCAGACUAGAGUUCGGUAGGGGAGACUGGAAUUCCUGGUGUAGCGGUGAAAUGCGCAGAUAUCAGGAGGAACACCGGUGGCGAAGGCAGGUCUCUGGGCCACUACUGACGCUGAGAAGCGAAAGCAUGGGGAGCGAACAGG
rnacentral:rRNA from 1 species